UACGAAGGGGGCUAGCGUUGCUCGGAAUUACUGGGCGUAAAGCGCACGUAGGCGGCUUUCUAAGUCGGGGGUGAAAUCCUGGAGCUCAACUCCAGAACUGCCUUCGAUACUGGAAAGCUCGAGUCCGGGAGAGGUGAGUGGAACUGCGAGUGUAGAGGUGAAAUUCGUAGAUAUUCGCAAGAACACCAGUGGCGAAGGCGGCUCACUGGACCGGUAUUGACGCUGAGGUGCGAAAGCGUGGGGAGCAAACAGG
rnacentral:rRNA from 1 species